rnacentral:tRNA from 1 species
UCUGGCGUGGUCUAGUGGCUAGCAUAUCUGGCUUUCACCCAGAAGGCCCAGGUUCGAUUCCCGGCGUCAGAA